CCGUGCGAACCCUAGCCCCAAUCCACAGCCCCCACGCCCCUCACUCCUCCCUCCCUCGUCCGCCGCCACGCUCCCUCCCUCCUCCCUCCUCUUCCUCCUCCUCCCUCGUCUCCACGGCCUCCGCCCUAGGAGCCCCACCGCCGACUGCUACUCCACCACCACGCCCCCUCCUCCUCCUCGCCUUCCCAUCGCUCGUGCACAGGUCGCCGCCGUGGCAGAGCAGGGACAGUGCUGGGUCGUCAAGAUGGGGUGGUUACGAAGGCUUCCCAGCCCGACGGCGCCGUCAUGGGAGGAGGCUUACCAUCGAAGAGUAGCCGCAGGUGCACAUCAUCCAAAGAGGUGCAGCCGGGAGGAGGUGAGGAUAAGUUGCUCGAUUGACAAGAGCAGAGCAGCGGAUUGGAUCGAGGGGGCCUGCAUGUCCACGCCGCCGCCUAGAGUCACCCUGACUGCCGUCUCAUGCCGCAACCGCGAGUCAACUGCACCACUGCCGCCAGGAAUCCCGUCCCCAGCAAGGGAAGUUCAGUGUCAUAAAGACACAGGAGAUAUUCAGUUAUGUUGAUUGGGGACAUUAAUGAUCAUUCAGUCAACAAAGGGGGCAGUAUUCUGAUCUUAUUUCAUCUCAUGCAUUGAUUAUUUGUCGUCUUCUUUGCAUACAUAUUUUAUUAAUUAUUUAUAUAUACUUGAUGUAUCUUUGUACUGCUGUUUUUACAAAUUGCCGUAUCCUAUGUGCUUGUUUCCAUAUCGUCAUAUCUGUGUUGUUGUAUGGUGCUUCAUAGCAAAAACUUAUACUUACUAAAGAAAGUGUUCCUUUUCUUGGUCCCAUUGCUCCAUAAGCAUGAUCACCUUUCUACUAAUUGAUUAUACAUAUGAUCUUUCUUUUGAUUAUUUUGCGAUACUUCUGAUUGACACUAUGAGGUGCUUCCUUGUCAUGCAGAUUCAUCAUUUACUUAAAUACUGAUGUUGAUAUGGUUGUAAAUUAGUCUGGUAUGUGCCAAUAGUUGUCUCCCCCAGAAGAUUUUUUUGUCAGAAUAGCUUACCUAAAGAGUUGGUUUGCCCAGAUGCAUCAUUUACUUACUGAUGAUAUUGCUGUAGCUAAACAAAUGGGUGAAAAACCACAUCAACCCAGCUAUAAGAAUGCAAUCUUAUGAUUCAUGCUCACCUAUGGUUGGUUGCUAUAUUGUACAUUCUUUUGACGAAACUAUGUUGUACAUUUAAUAACCUGACUUCUUCCAUGAGAGAGCACUACUUAGAGGUUUAACUGAGUGAGAUUGGGUUUAGGGACAAGAAGAGGAACCAUGGGCGGGUGCUCUUGCGACUCUCGGCUGGUUCCAAGAUUGUGCUUGAUCGGUUUAUCUGUGUGUGCAAGGAUGGCAAGGCAGCUUGAAGGUGGUCACGGCCAUCUCGCAGAGAUGGUGCAAGUUGUCAAGAAUCACGGUGCUGGGGCACUGCACUUCACCGCCGGGUGCAAGAUGGUGGAAGUGUGCGAGUACCUGUUGAGGGUGUCCAGGUGGACGUGGAUGCCGUUGACCAAGCAGGUUGCUUUUCCACGAUUUCAAAUAACUUAUACUGCGCUCGGGGCGUAUCUAGAUCUAGCACAGAAGAGAUGUGUUUCUUGAAGACCCGAAAAAUGAUUUUGCCUAUUCUCUGAGAUGGAUGAUGAUGAGCGGUGCAACCGAAAAUUCAGAGCUGGGCUUUACACACUUCAGUGGGAGUAGCAUGACAACACCAAGGUAGAGACCUGAAGAGAAGCAAGGGGAUGGACCAAGGAAACUAGAACUGUGUUGUCGUGAUGUGGGUCGUGUCGUCUUCGUCCAUCUCCAUGGAGGCAUAUAUACAUAGGUUAGGUAUAGGCAAGGAGACCGUCUCCAUGGAACUCUGACUGAUGUGUAAUGUCCUCAUAGGACUGGACCGUUUACAGAGGGAGUACUUGAAAAUAGAUUCUUUAUAUAUUGUUUGGUUCCAUCAGCCGCAUAACCUAAAUUAGCAAUUUGGUAUCUAAACAGUGUAGUGUAACCAUUGUGCUUGCUGCAGUUUUACUUUAGUGUUGAAAUGUUUUUGUUGGCUUGUUC